UACGGAGGAUCCAAGCGUUAUCCGGAUUCAUUGGGUUUAAAGGGUGCGUAGGCGGAAUGAUAAGUCAGUGGUGAAAUCCUGCAGCUUAACUGCAGAACUGCCAUUGAUACUGUCAAUCUUGAGUAUAUUUGAUGUGGGCGGAAUGUGUCAUGUAGCGGUGAAAUGCUUAGAUAUGACACAGAACACCGAUUGCGAAGGCAGCUCACAAAACUAUAACUGACGCUGAGGCACGAAAGCGUGGGUAUCAAACAGG
rnacentral:rRNA from 3 species